AGUGAACGCUGGCGGUAGGCCUAACACAUGCAAGUCGAACGGCAGCACAGUAAGAUCUUGCUCUUACGGGUGGCGAGUGGCGGACGGGUGAGGAAUACAUCGGAAUCUACUUUUUCGUGGGGGAUAACGUAGGGAAACUUACGCUAAUACCGCAUACGACCUACGGGUUAAAGCAGUGGAUCUUCGGACCUUUCGCGAUUGAAUGAGCCGAUGUCGGAUUAGCUAGUUGGCGGGGUAAAGGCCCACCAAGGCGACGAUCCGUAGCUGGUCUGAGAGGAUGAUCAGCCACACUGGAACUGAGACACGGUCCAGACUCCUACGGGAGGCAGCAGUGGGGAAUAUUGGACAAUGGGCGCAAGCCUGAUCCAGCCAUACCGCGUGGGUGAAGAAGGCCUUCGGAUUGUAAAGCCCUUUUGUUGGGAAAGAAAAGCAGCAGGUUAAUACACCGAUGUUCUGACGGUACCCAAAGAAUAAGCACCGGCUAACUUCGUG
rnacentral:rRNA from 1 species